GACGAAGGAUGCAAGCGUUAUCCGGAUUCAUUGGGUUUAAAGGGAGCGUAGGUGGCCUUAUAAGUCAGUGGUGAAAUCUCUGGGCUUAACCCAGAAAUUGCCAUUGAUACUGUAGGGCUUGAGUAUAGUUGCCGUUGGCGGAAUAUGACAUGUAGUGGUGAAAUACAUAGAGAUGUCAUAUAACACCGAUUGCGAAGGCAGCUAACGAAACUAUAACUGACACUGAGGCUCGAAAGUGCGGGGAUCAAACAGG
rnacentral:rRNA from 1 species